UUAACUACUUCAAUUGAAACAUAGUUAAAGUUAAAAGUUAUUAAAGGAAAGAUUUCCUUGUUUUUAUUGAACAGAUGCAGAUCCUAUGGAGAAACUGAACCACUAAACAUGGAAUUCAGAAAUGCAGAUUUAAGGCUCAAGACUAGUGUUUUCAAUCUGUGGUAGAACACCAGUGGAUACAGGUGGAGACUUAAAGUGAAAUAAAGAAUUUGAAAUCCACGGAGCUACUUGA
rnacentral:lncRNA from 1 species